rnacentral:rRNA from 1 species
UGGGGAAUCAUGGUCAAUGGGCGAAAGCCUGAACCUGCGACGCCGCGUGAGUGAUGAAGGUCGUAAGAUCGUAAAACUCUUUUCAGGGAUCUUAAAGCACAACCGUCAACAACGGCUGUGUGUGACUCUCCCUGGAAGAAGCCCCAGCCAACUACGUGCCAGCAGCUGCGGUAAUACGUAGGGGGCGAGCGUUAUUCGGAAUUACUGGGUGUAAAGGGUAUGUAGGCGGCCCUGCAAGUCGCGUGUCAAAGUCCAGUGCUCAACGCGGGGGGU